CGGUGCGCGAGUGACCGGUCGCGGCCGUGAGGCCGAGGAAAGUCCGGACUCCGCAGGGUGAAGGAUCCGUUCGUCAAGGACGGAAGGCGCGGGUAAAGCCGCGCGAUGGAAAGCGCCACAGAAAAUGAAACAGCCUCGCCGCAAGGCGAGGUGAUGGUGAAAGGGUGGGGCAAGAGCCCACCGGGAUGUGCGUGUAAAAGCGCCUCCGCAAGGCAAGCCCUCCUUGGAGCAAGAUCGAAUAGGGAGCUGAACAGGGGACCCCUCUGGCUGUCGUUGCGCGGUAAUACGCGCCUGGCAUGAGGCUUCGGGUAGAUUGCUUAGAGGAAUGACCGGACUUCGCGCCCGAAAGGGUGCGGAGGAACAGAAUCUGGCUUAUUCGCCGCGCACCGCCUU
rnacentral:RNase_P_RNA from 1 species